GUUCGCUCGCUGGGCCCACGGGGCGCUUGCGCCCACACGCCCGCCCUCAGGUCCCGCCCGGCUGAGGUGCUGCUGCCCGAGCGGACAGCCGAGACGUGGCUCCCGGGCGGAAGGGCCAUGUUGGACUUCGCGAUCUUCGCCGUCACCUUCCUGCUGGCGUUGGUGGGAGCGGUGCUCUACCUCUACCCGGCUUCCAGACAAGCUGCAGGAAUUCCAGGGAUUACUCCCACUGAAGAAAAAGAUGGUAAUCUUCCAGAUAUUGUGAACAGUGGAAGUUUGCACGAGUUCCUGGUUAAUUUGCAUGAGAGAUAUGGGCCUGUGGUCUCCUUCUGGUUUGGCAGGCGCCUUGUGGUUAGUUUGGGUACUGUUGAUGUAUUGAAGCAGCAUAUCAACCCCAACAAGACUUCGGACCCUUUUGAAACCAUGCUCAAGUCAUUAUUAAGGUAUCAGUCUGGUGUUGGGAAUGUGAGUGAAAACCACAUGAGGAAAAAAUUGUGUGAAAAUGGUGUGACUAAGUCUCUGCAGAGCAAUUUUACUCUUCUGCUAAAGCUUUCAGAAGAAUUAUUGGAUAAAUGGCUCUCCUAUCCAGAGUCCCAGCAUGUACCUCUUUGCCAGCAUAUGCUUGGUUUUGCUAUGAAGUCUGUUACACAGAUGAUAAUGGGUAGUACAUUUGAAGAUGACCAGGAAGUCAUUCAUUUCCAGAAGAAUCAUGGCACAGUUUGGUCUGAGAUUGGAAAAGGCUUUCUAGAUGGAUCACUUGAUAAAAGUACAACUAGGAAAAAACAAUAUGAAAAUGCCCUUAUGCAAAUGGAAAAUACUUUAAAGAAAAUCAUAAAAGAACGAAAAGGAAGGGGCUUCAGUCAACAUAUUUUCAUUGACUCCUUAGUACAGGGGAACCUUAAUGAACAACAGAUCCUAGAAGACAGUGUGAUAUUUUCUCUGGCCAGUUGCAUAAUAACUGCAAAAUUGUGCACCUGGGCAAUCUGUUUUUUAACCACUUCUGAAGACAUUCAGAAUAAACUAUAUGAAGAGAUAGACCGGGUUUUUGGGAAGGGUCCUGUUAAUCCAGAGAAAAUUGAGCAACUCAGAUAUUGUCGGCAAGUGCUUUGUGAAUCUGUUCGGACUGCCAAACUGACCCCAGUUUCUGCUCGGCUUCAAGAUAUUGAAGGAAAGAUUGACAAAUUCAUUAUUCCUCGAGAGACCCUUGUCCUUUAUGCCCUUGGUGUGGUACUUCAGGAUCCUAAUACUUGGCCAUCACCACUCAGGUGGACUGAAGGAGGGCUCGGAAAGCCAGGAAUGUGUCCUCUCUCCAGCUGCCAUGCAGCAAAGUAUGACUACUGCUGGGCUGAACAGCCAGGUUUGAUCCAGACCGGUUUCAUGAUGAAUCAGUAAUGAAAACUUUUUCCUUGCUUGGAUUCUCAGGCACACAGGAAUGCCCAGAGUUAAGGUUUGCAUAUAUGGUGACUACAGUACUUCUGAGUGUAUUGGUGAGGAGACUGCACCUAUUCUCUGUGGAGGGACAAGUUAUUGAGACUAAGUAUGAACUGGUAACAUCAUCCAAGGAAGAAGCUUGGAUCACUGUCUCAAAGAGAUAUUAAAAUUUUAUACAUUUAAUUUUGUUGAGGAAAAUAAUUGUUUAGAAAAUCUAUAUUGAAUCUUUUUAUAAACCAAGUAUCAUUGUGUAAUAUAAAUAACUGUAACUGUUACUCCUUCAUUAUAUAAAUUUGGAUUUUCUUAAUUCAUGAUACACAUGUAUGCUUAUAUCAAUGUGAUAAUUUUAAUGGGAAGCUUUCUACUUUUAAUAUUUGUUUAAUCACUUUUAUGUCAUUAUUUUUAAUGUUUUUUUUAGUUGAUGUCCAAUAUUAGUAUUUUUGGAGAGAGAAAUUAUUUUGCACAAUCUUGGGGAUCACAUUUUCUACUUGUUCAUAAAAGAGAGACAUAAUCCUAACUCCUUUUCAUAUAUCCAGCAAUUCACCCUAAAGCAAAAACAAAAGGGACUUACUAGAAUUUUAUUUCUUUACUAAUAUUUUUAAUUUUCUGAGUGUAAAUUAGUUUGUAUUCAAUCAUCGUUGUUAGGGGUGAAUAACCUAUUGUGUAUUUGCUAUUUUUAUGCUUCCCCAGACAAUCAUGUUCAUUCCAUGACUUAUAUAUACAAGGCUCAUCAUUUUGAACAGUUCUGAAUCAUUUGGAAAAUAAUAUAGUUUAUUUCUUUAUGUGCUUUGAAGUGCUCCUCAUAGUCAAACUGAUAUUGAGGCUUGUCUCUCCUGUUUUACUGGAAAUCAUAUUAGCACUAUAUUACUCCACUAAUUCUCAUUUGUGGAGAAAACAGAGUUCCUAAAUUUGUAAUUUAUUAUUAUGUCAUAUACUAAACUUAAUGAACAUAUGUGAGCUCUAACCAAAACCCAAAAUCAAAUUAAAAAAAGAGAAAACAAAGAUGAGUGAAAAUAUUUGCAAAAUAUAUGACUGAAAGGGGUAGUUUACAUAUUAUGUAUGAAGAGCUUAUACAGACUGGCAAGGAAACAUACAGUAGAUAAAUGGACAAAGGGUAUGAAUAAGCAGGUUUUAUAGAAGGAAAUAGCUAAUAAAUAUUUAAAAAACAGUAUCAAAGAAAUAUUGGGGUUAUUUUUAAGUAUCUUUCAAAACAUACUUUAUUACUCAUAAGUUUUAUAUUUAAUAAUUUUUUUGAUAGCAUUGUAUGUUAGUCCUCCUUUUUGGUUACACUGUUCUUGAAGAUUUCUUUUUUAUAAAUACAUUUUGUUCAGAUAGCAACUGAAGGAAAUACGCCAAAUGCAAAUAGGAGAGGAAGAAAAAUGAUACAUGUUUGCAAGUGGGCUUAUUUUUGAUACUGCUGAAUUUCACUUGUACUUGAGUUUCAAGAAUGUACCCUAGUUAUUGAGCUAUUUUAUGCUGUUUAUGGUCUAAUAGGUAACACUUUAGUUGGAGUGGUUAACAGAGUGCUUAAGUGGUUAGAUGCAGACUUUAUUUCUGACAAAAAUAUUUAUGGAAUAAUUUAAAUUAUAAAACUUUAAGUGAAAUGUAUUCUUAGUACUUAGCAGCAUGUUUCUAAAAAGUCCUGUUGUUAAUUUAUUCUCUCCUACCUAUCGUUUUCUAUAGUUUUGUAUAUGGAGAACAUCUUCAUUUGUUAUCCAGGUAUCUUGACUGGUUUAGAAAUAGGCUGUGAAAAGUUAGAGUAGGCAAUUGAUAUGUAAACUGAAUGUCAAUAAAGUUAAAUGAGGUUAAGUGGAAUUUUAAAGUAAGCAAAAUCUGAUCAGCAAUGAUCAGGGCACAAAAAGGAGGCUGAGCCAAGAAUCAGGGAGUUGGCAUAUGGCCAGUAAAUGAGGCAAUGUAUAAUACUAGUGAUGAUUGGAAUCAAGGAAAAUAGAGGAUAGAAGAAUCAGCUAAACACAUUUCAUCCAUACUUAUAUGACUAAAGCCAUUUAAAAAUUAUCUUCUUGAGGAUUUUUAGAAAAUAAAAUACUGCUAAUUAUGUAUAAAAUAAGUUAUCCAUUCACUAUUGUUCCUACUUGGCUCUUUGUAUUUAUUAAAUGAAGUUUUAGUGACACUGAUGGCUCAUAGCAUGACUCCAGCAGGGCUGUUAAAUUUUGUUGAUUUUUGGUUCUUUUAAACUAGCUCUUCAUUUUUUUUGAUCUGCAUUCUUUUUGAUAGUUCAGAAAUCUAUUGUUAAAAACAUCAGCAUAACAAACACAUGUUUUAUGGAAUGAAAGGGCUCUUCCAUACUUGGUGCUAAUAAAAUUCAAGGCAGAAUUAACUCUGUGCCUUUGUUUGGGAAAAAUGAAAAAUUCGCAUGCUGUUUACCUGGCCCACAAGUGUUCCAUUCUAUUCUUUAAUAUGAAGUCUAUCUUAUUUAUAGACUGUCAAAAUCUGUUUUCUGUAUUCUUGUUUCUCAAAAUAGUUUUUAUUUUAAAAACAAAAAGUUCUUUUUUUUAAGAAAAUUAUAUAAGUUUAUUUCCUAUAGAAAAAACCUAAAUACAGAAACACACACACACAAAAAAAAUGUUACAAACCAAAUACUUUUUAUACCUAUUUCAUUUAGUCAUUAGGAGCCACAGGAAAUCAGUCCCACUACUUGAAGUUAGCCAGUGUCAAGCUUGCUUCUGAGGUAGAUCUUGUUCCUUUCUUUUUUAUCCACAUAUAAUUUUUACAGACAUUACACAUAAUAUUCUCUUCAUUUUCUAUUUACAAACCAGUAGCAUUUUCUACAAUUAGAACAUUAGUAUUCUUCUUACUCAGAAUGUAAACACAGGUUUUUGUUAUCCUUACUUUUUCUCUCCUUAUUUCCCUUCUCAGAUAUUAUUCAUUUCAACUUUAGAAUUGGCCUUAUAUUUCCAUCCAUUCUAUCAAAAACAGUUAUUUGUAUAUCUAAGUUGCUAAAGUCACAGGACACUGAGGUGUUACAAUGAGCAUUUAAGAAAUGGAACUCCUCCACUGUCUAAGAAAACUCUUUAGUAUAAUUAAGUUCAAGCUGAAAUGGCAUUUCAACUUUUAAGGGAAAAUCUUAAGAACUUUCUCAUUGUUUUGGGCUCUGGAGCAAACAGAUUAAGAUUCUUCCCUGAAGCCAACUUUAUUUUUUUCUUCAGAUCCAUAAAGAGGACUGUUAACCUUUAAGGUGCUCUUUUUUCACACAUGGUUAUGUUGACAGGUUGAAAACUGCUUAAAAAACACAAUUCUAUUCUUAAAACAGGACAUGACCAGUAGCAUCAGAGAGUAGCUUGGUAGCUGUGAGAAGAUAGCUCUGAGAGAAAUGGACACUAUUUUCAAGGGCUGGUUUUUAUAAUGUCAUCAAAUUGAUACUAGUGACCUUUGUUUCUUCUUAACCAGUGUUAGGCUUGUUUCCUAAGUUAUUAGACCAAUGAUUAAGGUACAAAGGGAGGAGUUGGGUGGUGGGGGGUAAUAUGGCAACAAAGCAGUUACUGUCACUAAGGAAAUUAGAGGAAAUCAGUACAGCCAAAAGGCUUAAUAAUACAGUGUUGCUUUGAGGACUUGUGAGUGACCUGCACUGAUAAAAGGAGUGAAACUGAAACUGGUAAAAACUGAAUAUAGAAUUUGGGACUGAGAUGAGCAUUCGUUAUAAAUCAAAUACUUUAUAUACCUAUCUCAGUUAGUUUUUAUAGCAUAACAGUAGAUUCUGUGACAAACUAAAAUACUUUUUUAUUCCUUCUAAACAAAUGCAGACAAGUACUAGCUAAGAAAAAGUAAGUAAAAGAUCUAAAUUUCAAAUUAUCCUAAUAUCUUCAAUGGUGUUUAUUGGUAUACUUUGUUUUUAUUUAAGAGGGAAUCAGCAGUAGUUUCAAAUGAUGUACUAUUCAUAAUAGCUGAAGAAAAUGAUCUAAAAAGUAUUGAAUCUAAUGCCUAAUCAACCAUGUUUGUACUGUUUAAAUUUUUUGCUGUUUCCACAUACUUUUUUUUAUGUAUUGCAAUCAUAAUGUCUACUUUUCACUUAAUGAAUUUUAAACAUAUUCCUUUGUUACUUUAUUAUUGUAAGGGCUUUGGUGAAUAGAUGUUUUUUUGGUUAAACUUUUAAAAUAGAAAUCAGUUUAAUGUUUAAUGUAUAUAAUUUUAUGACAGUGAGUGAAUGGAUAGCUACAAUUUGAGUUGGGAACCAUUUUGCAAAACAUUCAGGCAAUAAACAGAAAGGCAGGAAAGGACAUUCCUUCUUACAGUUCUACCUCCCAUAAUUGGUGUAGGUUGGUUGCUGUCUUUCUAGAGAGUGGAAAUGGAUCUUCUGAAUAGCAUGUGAUAAAGUGCUGUGAACAAAUAAGUCAUAAAUAUCCUGCUUGGUAGCUUAAACACACACAUGCACAUGCACACAUACACACACACAUUUAUUUACACCUAAAAUACUUGCUAAUGCUUGUUUCAAUUUUUAACACAGUUACAUCCCCAUUGUACCUAAUCAUAGAUAAAGUGUAAAGUGCCUGUUUCCAAAAAGGCAAUCUAAGUAUUUUUGAAUGAAUUAAGUCAUUGAAUUUUUCUGUGCAUGUAGAAUAAAAUUAAGGAAAUUACUGAAAUUACUUAAUAGUUGACAAAGAUUUCCAGAUAGUCAAACUACCCUGAAAGCUACCAGUACUUUGUAAUAAUGCUAUGUAACCCAUUACUGGAAGUAUUUAAUAUGUUGUGUGGACAGAUUUCAGUGGUGCCUUUAUUAGAUGUGAACAUAGAUUUAUAAUAGGCUAUAGUUACACAAAAUACCAAGCAAAUAGUUGGUAGGCCAGUAGUCCAUUCUCCCCUCUGUAUCUAAUCACUAGAUCAUCAUUAAGCUAGGAAAUGUUUAUAGAUCAGUUUUUUUACCAGGUUAUUGAAAGCAUUAUUUUCCAAAGUGUAUCUUAUGGAACACUGUCCUGUGAGAUACUUAGAGAAAAAAUUUCCAUGAUCAUUUUCAUUCUCAGAUUCUCUAUACUAUAUUGUCCCUCACAUAUUUAUAAUACAUAUGAAUAUAUUAUAAGUGCUGAGAAGUUCUAGUAUGAAGGAACCUAUUGUAACUUGGCAUAAUACUUAAUGUUCCAAAGGUAUUUGAUGAAGAUAGCCUUCUUUUUUUUCAGUUAUACAUAUUAUCCCAUAAAACCAGUAUUUCAUGGAAGUAGUGUUCUAUAGAGUAGAACCCAUUUUGUCCAACAUGAUCUAGAGACAAAGAAACAUCUGCCUUGGCUAGUUCCUUGAAUAAUGCGUGGUCCAAGAUUCACUGGACUAGGAAUGAUCAUAGUCUUAAACCAUCUGAAUUCCAUACUCCAAAGAAAUUCAUAUUCCCUUACCUCUACCUCUUCUCUGUCAGAGCACAGCAUCCUCUAGCCCUGCUGAAGUCUUUCCUAUAGCCCUGUCCUGGCUUUCAUUCCUAUCCAAAGAAACGGAAUCUAUUUAGUAUGGCAUCAGCUUUUUAUUAAACUCUAAUGCAUGCCAGAUCUUAUGUUGGGCACUAAGGAUAUAGCAGUGGACAAAACAGACAUGAUAUCUGUUCUCUCCCUUCUGUGCUUCACCCCAGGAGGGAGUGCUGCAAAGUCUCAUGUCCCAAAGUGUAACCUAGGACUCAGAGCUCUCUAGGUCCUGGGUUUAGAAGCUGCUCAAGGCCCCUUCAGGUUAGUGGUGAAAGGAACACAGGAAGGAACUCAGAGAUGACUACAUGACAAAGAACAUAGGCUUCGGUUACAGGUUGUAGUGGGAGAGGAAGUACAAAUAACAGGAGCCAAACCCAUUAUUUUUGCUAUUUUUAGUGUAUGAGCAAGAGAAACUAGGUAUCUUUUCAAGGACUGUUAGGAUUGAUGCUAAAUGGGAAUACUGGAGAACUUUCACAGUGAGAAGAAACAAAGCUAAGAAUUGGUUAGACUAGGUUAAGGAACAAUCUAUAGUCAUUUAAAUGAAUCAUUGCUUAAUUAUACAGCAUCAUUAGGUGUGUUCAACUUUCAUGAUUUGUUGCUUGUGUUACAAGGUCAUCAUUUAAUAGAGAAUUGAUUUUUAGAGCUUAAAAGGAUUGUAGAGAUUAUAUGGCAUAGCCUGCCCACAGUUUAAAAAUUUAGAAGGAGAAGCAGCCUAGGGCUUCUGGGAGCAGCAGACUUUCACUCUGCAUUUUUCUCAUAUCCUUCAGAAAAUAUGUGCUUAGAACUAUGCUGCCAUUUUAGUUAAAGGAUUUUGUUAAGCUUUCAGGUAAGUGUAGAUUCAGAAAGAAUUGGAAAAUUAAAAAAAAA